CUGCAGGACAAGUUCGAGCAUCUUAAAAUGAUUCAACAGGAGGAGAUAAGGAAGCUCGAGGAAGAGAAAAAACAACUGGAAGGAGAAAUCAUAGAUUUUUAUAAAAUGAAAGCUUCCUCUGAAGCACUGCAGACUCAGCUGAGCACCGAUACAAAGAAAGACAAACAUCUAACAAUUUGGACAAGACAGCAAAUGCUAUUGUCCAAGUUUUCUAAAGAAGAAUCUGAAGUGAAAUGACAUCAAGAGACCUAUCAAGACCUGUAUCCAGGAAAAGACCAAACCAAUGCAGACCAAACCAAUGCAGAACUCCUAUGUGCUGAUGGUGGUCUUACAUUUCCCUAAGUUUCUGCCGACUAAACUGUGCACACGUUCUCAGGACCUCCUGAAGCUGCGUCACAGGCACUAAUCAAAGAACACAACCAAGAGUUUGGCCUUUUCUUCAGCACUGGGAAUUGUGAUCCAAAGCUUUUCCUGAUGAAGCACAAAGUUGGAGAAAAAAAACGCAAACUAAACAACAACAAUGAAACAGAACAGAGUGAAUCUGCUGUAGCUCAAGAGAGGACGUAGCUGCCCCCACUCCGCAUCCCCGGGCUCGGGUUUGCCUUGCUGACCUCUGCUGCCACCUGGUGCCGCACAGAGAAACUGAGGAGAAACCACAUCAGUCUCCUUCAGCCUCAGCUUCACAUCUGUGGGUCAAGUAACCCUUUCAGAAGCUGAAUAAUGUGGGAAAGCUUUCCUCUCAGGAAAAUGCACACAUCCAACUUUGAGAAGAUGCCCUUGGGGGCGCUUCAAGGAUUCUAGAUAAUAACCCCCUUUCCCGAACAUCCAAGAACCUAAGAUUUUUUUUUUUUUUUUGAGAAAGUCUCGCUCUCUCUCCCAGUCUGGAGUGCAGUGGCGUGAUCUUGGCUCACUGCCAGCUCCACCUCCCAGGUUCACGCCAUUCUCCUGCUUCAGCCUCCCUAGUAGCUGGGGCUACAGGCACCUGCCACCAAACCCGGCUAAUUUUUUUGUAUUUUUAGUAGAGACGGGGUUUCACCGUGUUAGCCAGGAUCGUCUUGAUCUCCUGACCUUGUGAUCCACCCGCCUCGGCCUCCCAAAUUGCUGGGAUUACAGAUGUGAGCCACCGCACCUGGUCCAAGAGCCCAAGUUUUAGAUCUAGAGUGAUGUCAGCAUGACAUUGAUUUCCUGAGGCCCAGGGGCGAAGGAGCUGAGGACAGCAGAGGGGUGAAGGAACUCAGCUACAGACAGCAGCAGCUGAUGCACAGGCCUCCCAGCGCCUGAAGUCACCCGGAAUUGGGAAGUGCUCAGAAGCUUACAAAGCUGCCUCGAGCAGAAGAAUCCCAGACUUCUUAGAGAACCCAGUGACUUUUUGCACCUUAAAUCUGUGAAAUCCUCAUGCUUUCUUCUGCCGUAUCCAUCGUUCAAACAAACAUGAGGCAAAGCUAGACACAUUCCUGAAGGAACCCAAGAAAUUCCUCUCUUUCUCUCUCUGGAAUGAAAUGAAUUCUCUAGACCACCAGUUCUAACCUUCAAAAACGAAACCUGUUUGUGAGAUCUCCUUCAAAUACUACUGUAGACCCCAGUGUUUAUUCAUUAAAUUUUUUAAACAUUUGUUUU
rnacentral:lncRNA from 1 species